rnacentral:tRNA from 1 species
UCCGACCUUAGCUCAGUUGGUAGAGCGGAGGACUGUAGUUGGCAAAUACCGCAGCUAAUCCUUAGGUCGCUGGUUCGAAUCCGGCUUAGUCGGAU